rnacentral:rRNA from 1 species
UACGGGGGGAGCAAGCGUUGUUCGGAUUUACUGGGCGUAAAGGGCGCGUAGGCGGCCUCCGCAAGUCGACUGUGAAAUCUCCGGGCUUAACCCGGAAAGGUCAGCCGAAACUGCAGGGCUAGAGUGCAGAAGGGGCAACUGGAAUUCUCGGUGUAGCGGUGAAAUGCGUAGAUAUCGAGAGGAACACCUGCGGCGAAGGCGGGUUGCUGGGCUGACACUGACGCUGACAGCGCGAAAGCUAGGGGAGCGAACGGG